rnacentral:rRNA from 1 species
GACGAACGCUGGCGGCGUGCUUAACACAUGCAAGUCGAACGGAAAGGCCCUGCUUUUGUGGGGUGCUCGAGUGGCGAACGGGUGAGUAACACGUGAGUAACCUGCCCUUGACUUUGGGAUAACUUCAGGAAACUGGGGCUAAUACCGGAUAGGAGCUCCUGCUGCAUGGUGGGGGUUGGAAAGUUUCGGCGGUUGGGGAUGGACUCGCGGCUUAUCAGCUUGUUGGUGGGGUAGUGGCUUACCAAGGCUUUGACGGGUAGCCGGCCUGAGAGGGUGACCGGCCACAUUGGGACUGAGAUACGGCCCAGACUCCUACGGGAGGCAGCAGUGGGGAAUAUUGCGCAAUGGGCGGAAGCCUGAUGCAGCAACGCCGCGUGCGGGAUGACGGCCUUCGGGUUGUAAACCGCUUUCGCCUGUGACGAAGCGUGCGUGACGGUAAUGGGUAAAGAAGCACCGGCUAACUACGUG